rnacentral:rRNA from 1 species
AGGGUUCGAUUAUGGCUCAGAUUGAACGCUGGCGGCAGGCUUAAGACAUGCAAGUCGAGCGGUAACAGAUCGCUGUGAUCUCUUCGGAGUGAACUUGAUGCUGACGAGCGGCGGACGGGUGAGUAACGCGUAGGAAUCUGCCCAGUAGAGGGGGAUAGCCCGGGGAAACUCGGAUUAAUACCGCAUACGCCCUACGGGGGAAAGGACGGGAUCUUCGGACCGGUCACUAUUGGAUGAGCCUGCGUUGGAUUAGCUAGUUGGUGGGGUAAAGGCCUACCAAGGCGACGAUCCAUAGCUGGUCUGAGAGGAUGAUCAGCCACACUGGAACUGAGACACGGUCCAGACUCCUACGGGAGGCAGCAGUGGGGAACAUUGGACAAUGGGCGCAAGCCUGAUCCAGUCAUGCCGCGUGUGUGAAGAAGGCUCUAGGGUUGUAAAGCACUUUAAGUUGGGAGGAAAGGUUAAAGUUUAAUACGCUUUAGCUGUGACGUUACCUACAGAAGAAGGACCGGCUAACUCCGUGCCAGCAGCCGCGGUAAUACGGAGGGUCCGAGCGUUAAUCGGAAUGACUGGGCGUAAAGCGCGCGUAGGUGGUUAUUUAAGUUGGAUGUGAAAGCCCUGGGCUCAACCUGGGAACUGCAUCCAAAACUGGGUAACUAGAGUACAGUAGAGGGGGGUAGAAUUUCAGGUGUAGCGGUGAAAUGCGUAGAGAUCUGAAGGAAUACCAGUGGCGAAGGCGGCCCCCUGGACUGAUACUGACACUGAGGUGCGAAAGCGUGGGUAGCGAACAGGAUUAGAUACCCUGGUAGUCCACGCCGUAAACGAUGUCUACUAGCCGUUGGGACACUUGAUGUCUUAGUGGCGCAGCUAACGCGAUAAGUAGACCGCCUGGGGAGUACGGCCGCAAGGUUAAAACUCAAAUGAAUUGACGGGGGCCCGCACAAGCGGUGGAGCAUGUGGUUUAAUUCGAUGCAACGCGAAGAACCUUACCUGGUCUUGACAUCCUACGAACUUACCAGAGAUAGUUUGGUGCCUUUGGGAACGUAGUGACAGGUGCUGCAUGGCUGUCGUCAGCUCGUGUUGUGAAAUGUUGGGUUAAGUCCCGUAACGAGCGCAACCCUUAUCCUUAUUUGCCAGCACGUAAUGGUGGGAACUAGGGAGACUGCCGGUGACAAACCGGAGGAAGGUGGGGACGACGUCAAGUCAUCAUGGCCCUUACGACCAGGGCUACACACGUGCUACAAUGGACGGUACAGAGGGUUGCCAAGCCGCGAGGUGGAGCUAAUCCCAUAAAACCGUUCGUAGUCCGGAUUGGAGUCUGCAACUCGACUCCAUGAAGUCGGAAUCGCUAGUAAUCGUGAAUCAGAAUGUCACGGUGAAUACGUUCCCGGGCCUUGUACACACCGCCCGUCACACCAUGGGAGUGGAUUGCACCAGAAGUAGUUAGUCUAACCCGGGAGGACGCUCACCACUUUGUGAUUCAUGACUGGGGUGAAGUCGUAACAAGGUAGCCA